CUUUUAGAAAAGUCUAAAGUAUUCAUUUUUUCCUAAGAUUUUAUUUGGAAAAAUUUUUAGCAAACAGAAAACUUUUAAAGAAAUUUAUAAAAAAUAGCCUCAUGUAUACCUGUCCCAUAGAUUUUAAAAUUAUAAACCAUUAAUUUUUAAACAAAGAAGAUUCUGCCAUUCUCUUCCUUUUGACAAGUGUCCAGGUAGAGCACGUUCCUGCACAGACAUCAGCUCCCCUAUGUCAGAGAGCUCCUGGUUUUUUCGCAAACUUGCUUCAUUCAACACCAGUUACCUGCGGACGUGGUCCUCAUAAAAAUGUUUCUUGGUCUCCAUCUUUCAAAACUCAUGCUGUAUUUCCCCUCUCCCUCAGGCCACAAUUUCUAAGGUUUUCUUCUCUGCCUGGCCUGUCAGAUUGAGGGCGAUUGUAAAACUGCUCUGGAAGGAGUUUAUUCUGUUGCUUUAUGACACCUCCUCAGGACUCUGAAAUUAAAACUCAAUCCUCAGACAAGAUGUAGCUUUAAAAUGAAAGUAGGUAGCAACUUGAAAUCAGCCCAUUCUUUGUUUUGCACUUUAAAAAUAUUUUUAGCUGUUAUUUAGGAAAGAACAUUCUAGACUUUUAAAAAGUAUAUAUUGUCCCCUAUAAUAUGUAUGUGGAAGAGUUAAACAUGAAAACUCACUGUUUUAUCUUAAUCAGUGGGCUUAGAUAUUAUUGUAAAACAUUCUUUAUAGAAAAUAUCUCUGUGUAUGUCUUGUGGGUUUUGGGGGUCAUGCCUGUGGCAUGUGGAAAUUCCUGGGCCAGGGAUCAAACCCUCACCACUGCAGCAACCUGAGCCGCAGCGGUGACAAUGCUGGAUCUUUAACCUACUACGCUGCAAGGGAACUCUUUAUAUGUUUUUGAUGAGCCCUAUCCAAUCUGUUUUAGAAAGAACUAGGUAAAAUCCAAACCCUAAAGUCUGUAUUUUUAUGUUUAUUUUUAAGGCUACUUCUUUGCAAAAGGUUGCCGUUUAACCCCAGGUUAUAAGGUUCUAAGGUAUAGAGUUGAAUGACCCUAAUAUUUAUGUAAAAGCCUGUUGUUUUAAAGGAAGGGGCAUGAGUGAAAAGGUGCAGCUUGAGAACUGCCUUUUUACAUUGAUGGUAAGAAAUGAAAACAAUGAGAGGAAAAGAGAGAAGCCAUCAAAUGUAUCCCAGAAUUUUGCUCAUAUCCUAAUUUUGCGUUGGUCUUUAGUUUGCAUUUCAUUUGUUGGAUCUGUUCUUUAGGCCCGAAGCCUCACUGGUCCUCACUGUGCUUGUUGGAGGCACAAACCCACUUUGCCACCUUUUCCAACAGCAUUAACUUCAGAAACAUUUUUGAGUAGGUCUCCUCUGCUGAGUAUAAUCCUGGCCUGAGUAUUGAUUUCAUCUCUAUAUACUCUGGGACUUGUGAGUCUAGGACCAUGAAAAAAGAUGGUACGUUUAGAAAGAGACUAAGAAGGGGUUCCCGUCGUGGCUCAGUGCGGUUGAUGAACCUGACUAGUAUCCAUGAGGACUUGGGUUCAAUCCCUGGCCUCGCUCAGUGGGUUAAGGAUCCAGGUUGCCAUGAGCUGUGCUCACCUGUCAGUUAAAGGAGCUCUCUUUCUGAACGCUUCCUCACUCAGGUUUGAAAUGCCUCCUCUGUAAUGUUACCUGUGAUUGAUUGUUAGUGUUGCUUUUUAAGUCUAGGCAGGAAUCAUCUGGAAAACAUUAUCCUAAUUCCUCUUCUCAUGUCCUAAGCAGUAUAUUUUAGUAAGAAAUUCUGUAUUUGAGUUCCUGCUGUGGCACAGUGGGUUAAGGAUCCGAUUGCAGGGGCUUGGGUUGCUGCGGAGGCACAGGUUUGAUCCCUGGCCUGGUGCAGUGGUUUAAAGGAUCUGGUGUUGCUGCAGCUGUGGUUUAGGCUGCAGCUGCAUCUUGAUUCAAUCCAGGAAUUUCCAUAUGCCGCAGGCACAGCCAUAAAACAAGAGAGAAAAGAAAAGUAAUUCCAUAUUAAAAAUUUCACUAACAUCCCUUUCUGAGACUAUUGUCUCAUACAUGAAUUUGGCUCGAUCAAGCUGAAUUGUUGCCAUUUAGCCAUGUUCAAGAGCAAGGUAAGUCUGGAGAAAGCAAUCCAGCAACCUGUGACUCUGGUGUACCCAUUUCCCUUAAUAAUGGGAAGUGGUUUGAAAUUCCUAGAAGAAGGCUGCUUUGUGAUCCAAGUGAUGGAUUAUAAGAAAGACAGACUUUGGGUAAGGAUCAUUGGAAGAGAGGAGGUGCUUAAAUAUUUCCUAAACUAUAUGCCAUUUAGCUUCUAUUUCUGAAAUGUCUGCUUUGGUGCCAUAUAUUGAGAUCUAUCAGUUGACUGAAAGAUAACCAUGCUUUCUUGGUAAAUAAGCAAUUGGUAACCCAAAGGCAUUCUUUCCUUAUCAUUUUAUAUCAUGCACUGAUGCUGACAUUACAAAAAAAGAUCUGGAAGGGAAACAGCCACAGUCUUUUCUUUAAAAUACAGAGUAUCCCAAUCACUCAUUUAUUUUGGUCACUUUGUUUUAAAUGUUUCCCUUCAUGAGAAAUGCUGUCAAUAUCUCAUGUGAUUUCUAAGAGCUCUGAACCAAAUUGUUACUUGUUAUGUCCUGCUAAGUACUUUUUUCUUUAAAAUACCCUGUUUUACCACCCUGUGGCACUGAUGUGUUGCUGUGCUACACAGAUGACCCUGAGUUAGGGUUCCUGAAAUAGCUCAGUUCUUGUGUUUUUAUAUUAUGUAACAGUUUUGUGAUGCUUUUGUGCAUUCUUUGUCUUCUCUUCCAAGUUUUGAAAUCUGUCAUAAAUAAACUUUUUCACUAUGCA
rnacentral:lncRNA from 1 species